rnacentral:rRNA from 1 species
UACGUAGGGUGCGAGCGUUAAUCGGAAUUACUGGGCGUAAAGUGUGCGCAGGCGGUCGUACAAGUCGCGUGUGAAAGCCCCCGGCUCAACUGGGGAGGGUCACGCGAUACUGUUCGACUCGAAGGCAGGAGAGGGAAGUGGAAUUCCCGGUGUAGUGGUGAAAUGCGUAGAUAUCGGGAGGAACACCAGUGGCGAAGGCGACUUCCUGGCCUGUUCUUGACGCUGAGGCGCGAAAGCUAGGGUAGCAAACGGG